rnacentral:rRNA from 1 species
UACGAAGGGGGCAAGCGUUGUUCGGAUUUACUGGGCGUAAAGGGCGCGCAGGCGGCUCUUCAAGUCAGAUGUGAAAGCCCCGGGCUCACAUCGGAGACUGCAUUUGAGACUGAAGAACUCGAGUCGGGAGAGGAUGGCGGAAUUCCCAGUGUAGAGGUGAAAUGCGUAGAUAUCUGGGAGGAACACCGGUGGCGAAGGCGGCAUCCUGGACCGAUAUUGACGCUGAGGCGCGGAAAGCCAGGGGAGCAAACGGG